rnacentral:ncRNA from 1 species
AUGGGGAGCUUGCGCAAAGCAGGCUGAGAGUGGGCUGUAUUGCCCUGACCCGUAACCUGAUUUGGAUAAUGCCAACGUAGGGAAAUAGU